UACGGAGGGUGCAAGCGUUGUUCGGAAUUAUUGGGCGUAAAGGGCAGGUAGGUGGUCUUGAAAGUCUGCUGUGAAAUCCCCGAGCUUAACUUGGGAAGUGCGGCAGAUACUCCAAGACUAGAGUACUGGAGGGGUUCGUGGAAUUCCCGGUGUAGCGGUGAAAUGCGCAGAUAUCAGGAGGAACACCGAUGGCGAAGGCAGGUCUCUGGGCAUUAACUGACGCUGAGGAGCGAAAGCAUGGGGAGCGAACAGG
rnacentral:rRNA from 1 species